rnacentral:rRNA from 1 species
ACGGAGGGUGCAAGCGUUAUCCGGAUUCAUUGGGUUUAAAGGGUGCGUAGGCGGUAUAUUAAGUCAGUGGUGAAACUAUCGAGCUCAACUCGAUACCUGCCAUUGAUACUGAUAGACUUGAGUAGUAUCGACGCGGGAGGAAUGCGACAAGUAGCGGUGAAAUGCUUAGAUAUGUCGCAGAACACCGAUAGCGAAGGCAUCUCGCGAGGUAUUUACUGACGCUGAGGCACGAAAGCGUGGGGAUCAAACAG